AACUCUCGACAACGGAUAUCUCGGCUCUUGCAUCGAUGAAGAACGCAGCGAAAUGUGAUACUUGGUGUGAAUUGCAGAAUCCCGUGAACCAUCGAGUCUUUGAACGCAAGUUGCGCCCAAAGCCAUUAGGCUGAGGGCACGCCUGCCUGGGUGUCA
rnacentral:rRNA from 1 species